rnacentral:rRNA from 1 species
AACGAACGCUGGUGGCAGGCCUAACACAUGCAAGUCGAACGCCCUAGCAAUAGGGAGUGGCAGACGGGUGAGUAACACGUGGGAACGUGCCCUUCGGUUCGGAAUAACUCAGGGAAACUUGAGCUAAUACCGGAUACGUGCGAGAGCAGAAAGAUUUGUCGCCGAAGGAUCGGCCCGCGUCCGAUUAGCUAGGUGGUGAGGUAAUGGCUCACCAAGGCGACGAUCGGUAGCUGGUCUGAGAGGAUGACCAGCCACACUGGGACUGAGACACGGCCCAGACUCCUACGGGAGGCAGCAGUGGGGAAUAUUGGACAAUGGGCGCAAGCCUGAUCCAGCCAUGCCGCGUGAGUGAUGAAGGCCCUAGGAUUGUAAAGCUCUUUCGCCAGGGACGAUAAUGACGGUACCUGGAUAAGAAGCCCCGGCUAACUUCGUGCCAGCCGCCGCAGUAA